UGGGACGUAACAAUGGCACCACAGCACAGAAUCAGAGUUCCAGGCUACAAAACUUACUCCUAACUAAAGAGAUGUUAGGCGGCACCCAGACGCAGGCUUGAUGGUCCCUCAUCCCAGUUUUAGGAAAUAUCUACAAGAGGUGAUGAGCAAUAAAAUCAUGAAGGUUAGCAACAAGGAUUCAGACUGCUAGGAGGACCCUGAAGAUGUACCUGUAUUCCCAGGCCUUCAACUGAGAUUGGAUUUUUAAAUCUUAAUGUGUUUUAAUGUGUUUUUAUCUAUGAAUUUCAUCUUUUAUGAGUUUUAAAUGUGUUAUAGAUAGAUAGAUAAAGUUUAUUACGGUCAUAGAGCAGCCAGUUACAAUUUAUAUAUCACAUUUACAUUUUACAAGCUUUGCGAAUUAGCAAUACAAACGUUAUGAAAUUUGCAAACAAUAAAGCAAAACUUGGGCACAUUACUAGAAAUUACAGGUUUGAAAUUGGACAGCAGGUACUCUAAAUAAAAAUGAUUGGUGUGCCCAGGACAAUUCUUUAAAAGGGGUAAAAUGAAAUUAAAAUUACUGUCCCUAUAAAAUUGACAGUAGAGGAUUAUGUUGGCAGUUGUCACUAUGUCCCCUCAGCUGCAGGGACAGCGGCACAAUGCAUAAGGUAGUCGUUAGUAUAUUUUGUGUUUUAAUUCUGUACACCGCCUAGAGAUUUUUAUACUAGGCAGUAUAUAAAUUAAUUAAUGAAAGAAAGGAAGGAAGGAAGGAAGGAAGGAAGGAAGGAAGGAAGGAAGGAAGGAAGGAAAAGAAAGAUGGGCAGAGGGUCAAAGUUAGCGCUGAGAAGAGGAAGAGUUAGGCUUGCUUUACUUAGACAGGGAGAAAUCGGAAGCAGUAAGAACACUGGUCUAACCUGAGAAGUCACUCCAGGGAUGGGGACAUUUUUGGGUUAAGUUUUCUUAGAGCAGUGGUUUUCAGCCUUGGGUCCUCAGAUGUUGUUGCGUUGCAACUUCCAUCAUCCCCAGCCAGCCUUAAAGGUCUGGGGAUGAUUGGAGCUGCAGUCCAACAACAUCUGGGGAGGGGCCCAAGUUGACAACCCCUAUCUUAGAGCAAAGGAUUACAGAACAGGCGCAGAGGAGGUUCGAAGGCUCUGAUCAGAGAAGGUAAAUUCUGAAGCUGGAGCAACAGAACAAUCUGCUGUUAGCAAGGCAAUGACAAAAGGCCAAACUGCUGAUAUUUAUACCUGGAUUACCCAAUCCAGUGGUCAUUUUGUACCUGUCUGUUAAUGAAGCUGAGAAUUCAUCAUUUCAGCCCCCACCACUAAUGGAGAUCUGGCUGGCGGGGACUAGAGACAGGACCUUUUCAGUUGUGGCACCUCAACUUUGGAACACCCUCCUGGAAGAGCUUCGCCAUACUCCCUCCCCAGUCUUUUAAAGAAACAACUGAAGACACAUCUUUUUUUAG